UACAAAGAUAUUAACUUGAGGUGCCUGGGUGGCUCAGUUGGUUAGGCAUCUGCCUUUGAUUGGGGUCAUAAUCUCAGAGUCCUGGGAUCAAAUCCUGAAUGAGGCUCCCUGCUUAGCAGGGACUCUGCCUCUCCCUUUGCUCCUCCCCAACAACUUGUGCGUGCACACACUCUUUCUCUCCUCUCAAAUGAAUAAAUAAAAUCCUUAAAAAUAAAAAUAAAAUAAAAUAAACUCCUCUGAAAAUCCAUGAUGAAGAUGUUACAUGCAAUUUAAUAACAAACAAGUGAAAAGAAAGAAACAAAGACAUUAACUUUAUUAUUCUCUAUACCUUCCUUGUAUGCUUGAAAUAUUUCAUAAGUUAAAAGAAAAAGCUUAUAUAUAAAAAUAGAAAAUAUUGCCAACAGUUCAAAAGGCUAUAUAAUGAAAAAUAAAUACCCGUUCAUUUCAGAUCUAUGAUCCUCCUUGGAGACUCUGAUUAUUAUCCAUUUCAUAUGCAUCCUACAGGAGUAGUCUGCAAAAGCAAGCUUUUUCUUUCUUUUCUUUUCUUUCUUUCUUUUUUUUGAUUUAAAUUCAAGUUAGUUAACAUAUAGUGUAUUAUUAGUUUCAGGGGUAUGCAAAUGCAAGCUUUAAUAUCUGGAAUUGCUGCUCCACUCGGAAGCAUAUAUACACACAUACCCAUGUACUUACACACCUGGAUGUCUAAUUCUAUUCACCCAUGUGGGAAGCAGGCCAACACACUGAAGCCUUCCAUUUGGAAAGUCUACCUUAUGACCCUUUAUUUUGGACACUCACUAGAAACCACUCUUUGUUUUCUCUUUUAGUGGACCUGAACCCAUCUGUGUAUCUUUCCCAAUUGGUGAAUACAUGGGCCUCUCUUAUUAACUAGGGUCAACUUCUCUGGAGAAUGACUGAUUAUCUCUUUGAAGUAUCCUCCUCAGGCUCCUUAGCAUGAAAAUUUCGUAUGCCGAACAACUCAUAUUUUAAGUCAGACCAUCACAAGCAUGUUAGAAUUUAGUGAAAAUCAGUCCAGCAAUUUUCUUAUGAUAUGGUACAGAAGUAGACAAGAAGUCACAAACUUCACUUCAUUACAUGAAUAAAUCUUCCACUGCUCCCCUGCUCUGACCUUUAGGGGAAAAGAGAGAGAAAAAGAGAAAACUUACAAAAUGAGAGCACACUUGGCACACUUGUUCUGUACCUUGCCUUUUUUUCCUUAUUAUAUCUCGAGGUGGUUUUAUGUUUCUUAUCAGUCCACACAGUUUUACUUUUGUAUUUAUAGUAUAAAUACUAGUUCAAUUUCAUUUGUGAACAAACUGGGAUUAAAAUUCAUAAUAAGCUUUUCUUUCUAAAAUAAUGUCUUAAUUUCUCUUCAGUGUAGGGUGACCAAGUCAUCUUUUGGCUUGGGCUUUGCCUGGGAUUUUAUCAUUUAAAAUCCUAUGUCCUGGAAAAUUUCUCUUCGCGUUUGUCCUAAAAUGAAAUUAUUAACCACAUAUUGUUGAUUUGGAAUAAGAAUUUUUCCUAGGGCUUUUGCUAGUGUUGAGGGUUGCCUCACACUUUUAGGUGGCUGUGUCUAUUCUAGUGUUUGACUCUAUAUAAUUGUAUUAAGCCUGCUUCCUACUAGUGGACAUUUUGUCUCUUUCUAGAGUUUUGUGGGAACAAACAAGUCUUCCAUAAAUGUCCUCGCUUAUUUGUUCUGUAAACUGGUAAAUUCUGCAUAAUAAUUUGCUUGGAAAAUAAGGCUUUCCUGCUUAAAACAAAACUCAGAAAGCCACAAGAUUAAAGACUCUUUCAUCUUGAGCCUUCUGUGAGUCUCUUUUUCUUCAGGUGACUGACUGGGCUAAGGAUGAGUUUAAAAUGGGUUGGCAGCCAAGGUCUGGGAAAAAAGCCCAGGCACAGGAGAGGCUUCCUGGGGUGCAUGAGGGAGAAAAACAGCCAGUGCUGUGCUUCCCAGCUCGGAGGGGGUGUUUAUCAAGGCCAGUGGGAGAGGAGUUGGCCAGACUUCGAGGGGUCCAGUGUUGGCCAGGAGUAGGCCUGAGAGACUGAGGCCAUUCAGCUGUGUUCCAAAAUGAGCAGGGAAAGGAAGGAAAAACAAGCCCAGACACACACUGGGUGGCUGCCGGCUGGCCAGGGCUCUUGGUACAACAAGCCUGGUGCCAGGCGGUGAAGCCCCACCAGCUGUCCCCGGGAACCCACCCCAGACUGGGCAGGGUUUGGUCAGUUCCACAAUUGCUUCUUGGGGCUAUAAGGAGGAUGGGAAAAUUCAGUACUUUUCCAGAGGGAUCGGCUACCUGGGCCAGAAAGGUGAUUUUCUAGUUACGUGGUAUGUGUGAUACAUGUGUAUUAAUGCAUCCUUUAUCCUUCAGAGGGGCUGCAGCAUCACUGGCCAACGUGUUCUAUGCAGGAUGCUACUAGUGAAACACCAGAUCCAAAAGUCAAAAAAAAAGCCCUGGAAAUGGCAAGUAAAAGGCAAAGUCAUCCAGGAAAAAUCACUGCCAAGUUCCUUAACAGCUUCUCUGCCCUGAGAUCUAUGCAGAAAGAGCCAGAUUCAGUGUGGGAGGAUGGAACGUCCUGUAGAAGAGGCUGUGUUGGCAUUCUUUCCCAUCUUUCGGUCACUGGAUAAGGCUGGUAUCUUAUAUCAAGGGUCGUUUUCUCCUGGAAAGAACUAGAAAUGAAAUGCUAAAGAGUUAGAGAGAACUUGAGUCUUAGUUCACUCUGCCGCUAAUUUGCUGAUUGAUACUAGAAAGGUCUUUCCUCUCCCUGAGCCUUACAUUCUUCCCCUGUAAAAUGAGAUGGUCAGACUUUCUCUAUCAUUUUCUUUUUUUUUUUAAAUUUUUAUUUAUUUAUGACAGUCACACAGAUAGAGAGAGAGAGGCAGAGACACAGGCAGAGGGAGAAGCAGGCUCCAUGCACCGGGAGCCCGAUGUGGGAUUCGAUCCCGGGUCUCCAGGAUCACGCCCUGGGCCAAAGGCAGGUGCUAAACCGCUGCGCCACCCAGGGAUCCCUUUCUCUAUCAUUUUCUAACUUUCUGAUCAGAGGAAGACUUCUGUCAAACAGUCUUAAGAGUCAUCCCAUGUAAAACAGAUAAAAGCAGUCUUUAACCAAAGUGUUUUUAAGGUAAUAUUACAUCAUUAAAUUAUGGAAGUGUUUACUAUAAAGGUCAGGAUAGAGGUGCUUUUAGGAGCAAGUAGGUAGUUGGGAUUAGGUCAAAGCACACAAAGGGCAUUUGGGUGGCUACAAACUUCUUGACCUGAGUGGGAGUUACAAGUGGAAAAUAUUUUCCUAGAAUCUUUCAGUAAACACUCAAAAUAUUACUAAUAUGUUAUAAAGUCAGUCACUGAGAACACAACUGUGUUCAAUUAGGUUUAGUUGCAAAAGACAAAAACUUCAAAAUAAAAGUGGUUUAACAAGAUAGAGGUUUAUGUUUCCUUCACGUUAAUGAAGUCUGAGGUGAGCCAUGUAAGGCGCUCAAUGUGAACAGGUUAGAGCUCAAUGAUCGUCGAGGACCCAAGGCUCCUUCUCUCUUGUCCAUCAACCUCAACACAAACUUCUAAUCCAGAGCCCAAGAUGGCUGACUGACCUCCACCAUCACAUCCACAUUAGAUCCAACAAGAAGAGGAAUGAGAAGCGUACACUCUCUCACUUUACCCCCUAGAAGUAGUGCUCACAUCCUCAGUUCACAUCCCAUUGACAAAACUUAACGACAAAGCCUUACCUAGCUGCAAGGGAGGCUGGAGUGUGUAGCCUUUAAUCUGGGUAGCCAUGGCCCUACCCAACUGUAGUCCACAACAAAGGUAAAAAAGGAAGAGUAGAUUUAGGGGACAACCAGCAGAAUCUGCCACAAUAUAUUAAUGGAUUAUGGUUUCUGAUGUGUCAAAAUUAAUGGGUGACUAAUGCGGGUGUCUUUGCUGUCUUUCUGUCACAGUUGUAAAUACAGCUUGAGGUAUACAAAAUGAGAUGAAUAGUAAUAGUCUGUGGCACUGCAGAUGCACUCACAAAACACAGCUUAAAUCCCCUGAACUAGAAACUCCCAAAGAGCGUUUCCAGCUUUGACCUUCUAAAAUUCUAUGAAAGCCCUGACCCUUGCCAUGAGUUUGCAGAGGGCUUUCUCUCUGGGGACUGGCAGGGGACUUCUUGUUACCUUCAGAACCGAGAAUUGUGCUCAUUGUUUCUUCUGAGCUGGCAACACCCUUGCCAAAUAUCUUGAAAAGCUGUCAUUCAGCAGCCUUCCCUCUUGGGCUGGGAGUUCCCCAGAGGAAGUGUAGUUUACUGAGGCAGUGAAAAAGACUCAGCAUUUCAAAGCAGGGGCUGUCUUAGCUGGGAGGAACUCAGACUUUCCACAAGAUUUUCAAGCUCUUUCCAGUAGAAGGGCCUACCUUUGGUUCAAUUCUUAUAUUUUUCAGAGGAAGAAGCGUGGAUCCAGAGAGGUUGAGAAGAUUAUCUGAAGUCACUAGCAACUUACAGCAGGGCAGGGCCAUGUGCUGACUUGUCCUGAUGCUUUUCAUCCACACUAGUUGCAAUAGUUUAAUUUAAUGUAUGUGUCCUAUGUGCCAUGCGGUGGGUUAAGCACCUGACAUGCAAGAUCUCAUUUACACUUCAUGAAUACCCUGAGAGAUAGGCAUACUUUCUUCUUUUUUUUUUUUAAGAUUUAUUUAUCUAUCUAUUUAUUUAUUCAUUCAUUCAUGAGAGACACAGAAAGAGAGACAGAGACAUAGGCAGAGGAAGAAACCUACUCCUCACAGGGAGCCUGAUGUGGGACUGAAUUCCAGGACCCCAGGAUCAGGCUGUGGAGGCCAAGAAAAUUAAGGCCAUUCCAUUUUAAGUUCAGCGUUAGCACAAGUACAGCCAUCCCACGCCCCUGUGAAUAAGAGCUGAAAUUUACCUUACUUCAGUUACAGGAAGAAAACAGCUUACAGUUUAAAGUCCUAGAAAGCCCCAUAUUAGAAUGAGAACAGAGCCCAAGCCAAGGGCAGGAAGCCCCUAUUACAAUAAGAAUAGAGUUCAAUGCCCUUGAAAGCCAAAUGUAGACAGAACUUGAGAAAUUCCUCCACCCCUUCUGGAGGUCCCCUAGAUCGAUCCUUAAAACUAAGCUGAAACCCACCUCGGGAUCCAAGUCCCUGCUCCGCUGUGUUGGGUAUACUUGGACCCAAGCUCAAGCUUGUAAAUAAACCCUCGUGUGUUUGCAUGUG